UGAUUACAAGCGCCUAAGCGCAUCCCCGCUCUCAGCGCUUGCGCGAAAGAGUGGGGAUGCGCUUAAGGCGCGCAGCGGGCAUGAGCAAGAAGCGGGGGAGGUAUUUAUCCCCCGCGGAAUGCGAAUGAACGCCCGGAUUGCGGGAGCGGGAAGCGCGGAGCAAUCCGAGUAAUCC
rnacentral:sRNA from 1 species